AGUUGAUUCUUAAUUUCUUAUUUUCAUUCUUGGUAAUCAAUAUAUAGGCAACCAGAUUGCUAAAGUAGGUUGUUUUUGUCCUUUUUGGGGCAUUGUAUCAACUCCAGAACAAAGAUCUAUAUGAAUCGCAAGCUUUUUGAUUUUACCGACUUAGUCGUCUUUAAAUCACAAGUUUUUCUUUAAAAAGUUCGGUUUUGAUGUAACCGAACCGAAAAAACCGAAGUAUUUCGGUUCGGUUCGGUUUGAAACACAAGUACGGUUCGGUUUGUAAAAAUAUUAAAGUUCGGUUUUCGGUUAUUUCGUUCGGUUCGGUUUCGACCGUUGCGAGCAACUAGAACUGGGAGACUCAGGAGAGAGAGAGUCGGGAGGGGGAGAGAAGGAGAGAUUGGAUGCAGUGGUACGUGGUUGCAUCGCUUCUCACAGUCCUCACAAGUUCCCAGGUUUGGGGCUAUUUUCAACCUGGCACGACUCAUCAUGGAUGAUUUUAGAGGAGGAUUUGAAAAAGGGCCAUGGUGGCAAUGCUUUUCGACGGAUACAAUAUCGUAACAUGGAUGGUGGUAUUAAAACUUGGUUCCACUGGUCUAUUGGUUUCAUGGCUAAUGAAUUAUGCAGACAAUAUUGUUAAGGUGUAUUCAACAUCUAUGGCCAUGCUUCUCACAAUGAUUCUCUCUAUAGUCCUCUUCAAUUUCAAACCUACGUUACAGCUCUUUUUGGGUAUAAUAGUGUGCAUCAUGUCUGUACACAUGUAUUUUGCACCUCCAAACAUGCUUGUGGAUUUGCCUGUGCCAGUAAUGGCAGUUCCAAAUGAUGUAGUCGAAGUUUCCAUCGACGGGAAAACAGAUAUCUAAGGUUAUAUCUGCAUUGACCCAGAUGUAUAUUUUGGCAAUACUUUGCCAUGUACGAGUGGACCUGUUAUUUCACCUUGAGUGCUCGUAUAGGCCACUUGUUACCAGGACAUGCUAUAUUGCUAUGAUAGAGAGUUUUCGCCACUUUGCAUCCUUCAUUUUUUGGAUGACUGAUACCAAGGUUGCUGCUGCUAAGGAAAUACUCUACUAACCGAAUGACUGCGAUCAGGCAUCCAAAGAGUGAGGAAUACAGUGAUGGGGUGACACAAGUCUCACCAAUCAACAUUAUUUAUGUUAAAUCUGUUAAUAAAAUAAUAAUAUAUGUACAAUAGCAAGAACAAAAAAUAAUAUAUUUCCAAAUGUAUUGCUUGUUCCCUUGUAUUAGAAAAUCAUUGUCCCAACGAUGCCCCUAAAAAUUAAUUAGGAUAACAUUAACAAUAGCAUCUUCCAGAUUUUGACUGCACAUCACGAAAAUUGCCACCGUGUUCACAAUUAGUGUUGCCAUCACACCACGACAAUGAUGGCAUUGAUAUCAUAUCAAAUGUGGCCAAUAAUCACAAGUGUACGUCAACAAUUAGAAACAACCUCUGUGGCUUUGUUAGAGUACUGUUAGUAAUGGAUGGGAGUUUAUGUACACUACAUAUUAAUUGACCUGAUUAUACGUUAGAAUCUUGUAAGUGGACCACGAUGGCUUGGGACAAUUCUCUAGUUGCUGCAUUGAUUAUGCAUAUCCAGUACUGCUAAAUAUUACUCCCUCUGUCCCACUCAUUUCUUUACAAUUACUAUUUUGGGAUGUCCCUCUAAUUUUUUUACGUUACUAUAAAUAGUAAGUUUUUCCCAUCAUUACACCCACUAUCUUUCCCUACUAUCUCAUAUUUAACAAUAAAAACUACUAUUACACCUACUACUUUCCUCCACUAUCUCAAAUCUAUUAUUAAAUAUUGAUAGGUCCCACCACUUUACCCACUUUUCAUUUAACUUUACUCAUUUUUCAUACAUCGUCUUGGUCUCCGUGUCCCCCUCCAAUGUAAACAAUUGAGGGGGACGGAGGGAGUAAUUAUUAUUAUUAUCAACUUAAAAGCUUCUGUUGAAUUUAAUCUAGAAUUCUAUGAAAUGGUAGAUAAACAUACUGAAUUGCUGAGUAUGUUCACGGUCAUAAUUUAUUUAUAAUCAUUCAAGUUCCAUAUCUGGACCAUGUAACUUUUAUAGGUAUAGUAAUUUUGAGGCAAGUAUGGAUAGACACGUACUUUUAUUGUUUUUCCGAAGGGUUUAUGUCGUGGGUUAAACCACAAUGUAAAAUUGUAUUUCAUUGUUUUCUCAGAAUAUUUAUUAUAAUAAUUAAAUAUGAAAAAACAGGCAGGCAUUCUUGUGAAGUUGUCAAGGAUUAGUUGCUUUGUUUGUAUCAUUUGUGCUGUAACUGGUUCAAUUUUCUGAGGUUUAGUGUGGAAAUACGAAAUUCUAUAACUACAUUGCCGAGCCAUUGUUUUCUCAGACUUAAAUUUCAUGCCUGCAGCCUCGACAAUGCCACUUGUAGUAAUGCACAUCCACUCCCCCUCUCAUUCUGCAUGUGUAUAUGUAUACUAUAAGUCUAUAAAUAGAUUAGCUUGGUUAUUGUAUAGUCCAGUAAGCAUACAUAGAGAGUUACAGUCACAGACAUCAAACAUUUAUAACAAAAGGAGGAGGUAAGCAGACAUGAACGAAGAUGCUAUGAAAUCCGGAAGCCGUCGUCCUUCACUUGGUGCGGGUGGUGGAAGUCAUGUGGAGAACGGACAGCAAGCAAAGGUCGUUUACGAGCAUUUUCAGAUGCCAGUGAACUACCCAAGAUACACGAGACCAGAGUACGAGAGGAUGCCCGAAUGGAAGGUAAAUUGCUUGCUCGCUCAGUAUGGUUUGCCGGUCUCAGGUGAUGUUGAUCAGAAGAGGAAGUUUGCCAUGGGAACUUUUCUUUGGUCUUGUUAAGUCUGCUGCUAUAUAUUCAGUUAGUUAUUUUUGUUGAAGAAAGGUAGGUAGGUUAUAUAAUAAUAUACGGGCCGGGGUGAAAAAAUGUCCUAGUUGGUGAAACGUGUUUCUAGGUCAAUCUACCAAGUCUUGUUUUCACGUAAUCUAGGAGGUAUUUGGCCUUAUGCUUGCAAGUUAUACCGGUAUCCCCCGCCACCUAUUUAGCAAAUGGCAAGCAUUUCUUGACAAAUACCAGAUGAGUUUCCCAUUGUUGAAUAUGCUGCUGCUCUUGCCACUAUUACUUGGUAUACUAGCUAGAUCAGUUGAUUCAGUUAACUUCCUAAUUCCUAUGCGGUUACUCUUAUUGUAAUUUUAUUCCUCCAUCUAUUACUUGUAUGCUAUGAUAUUAGUAUCCAGGAUCACAUGACUAAACUUGGAGCAUAAAAAUUAUUUAUUUUGUAUAUAAUAAUAUUGACUUUGGAUUUGCAGUCGCAGUAAAUAAGCUGCUUUUCCUGAAUUUAAACAAAGAAACAUAUAUAAUUUCAAAUUUUUUCUGUAUAGUUCUGAAGGUUCAUCUCAGUUGAUUAUUCUUCUCUGCCAAAUAUUUGUACAAUUUAUAUACAUCUUCACAUGGGCAUGGGCUGCACAAUGAUCUUUCAUAAUUUGAUGACAUCAAUCGGGGAACAGAACAGAGGUACUGUCCUCCUAUGCUUGUGUGUUGUUUUCAAUUAGCUGGUAUAUUAUGUUCUAGGGCAGUUAUCUUUGAUCAAAGCAUAUAUCCCAGAUGAGUUUAAUUUACGUUU